UUGCUUUUUCAAUGGUAAUGUUCUAUUGCAGUUUUCUAUUAAAUUAAUUGUUAAAUACUUGUACUAAUCCCCGAGUUUGGGACAAAUUCUACGCAACUGUGCUGGCUUGUGUGUCUAAUUCUUUGUUUGUCUUUGUUUCAUGUGAACACGAGCCAACAGUAACCAUGUCCGUUUCUUGGGUUUACACUGUCAGCAAGGUUGAGUUGCUGGCAUUUCUAUCUGACAUGGGCGUGGCUAGCGAGGAACGCGAGACGGUGCAAGAUCUAAGGCGAAAGGCAGUUCAGUUUCUCCGCGCGGAGCUGUCCGCACCGCCUUCGCAGGAAGCAACAUCUGUGCGUCCAAGCAUCCCUCCUUCCUUCAGUCAAAAGUUAUUUAUAAAAUCCCUGCAGGGGUUGCUAAAGUUUUCAUCCGGGGAUCUUUGUGCGGUCUUGGAUUUUCUGAUUGCUGCCAGAAAAUUGUGUAAGCUCAUGUUAGUGAGCGAAGCAGAUUUUGUCCACUCGCUUCUUACGAAUUGUGCUGGUCAUUUUCUACAGUUAUUGUGUGAUGUCAUUAGUGUGCACGGUAAAUUUGAUGACUUUGCGAAGUCCGUGUUGGACUAUACUUGUCCUCCGCGGGUGAGAGAAAAGUGCAAGGCUGAUCUAGUUUAUUGUUAUCAGGAACCGAAUGAGCCGAUGAUACAUUUUGUCAAUUCAGUUAUAGACUUUUCGAACGUGUUUUUCACAGGUCUUCCCGAGGCGACUCUAGUAGAGAUUAUUGUGGGGAAUCUAUCUCCUCUUACCCUGCAGCACUGUAGUUUUGCGUCUGUGCCGCGCUCCUUUGCGCAGUUGAGGGCUAGUGAAGUUGAGAACAGACUGUUGGCCACGAAGGAAUAUGCAAGGAAAUUUUCUGUUAGUGAGACUCGUAGCCAAUGUUCUGGACAAGGCGUCCAGCUCUCUAGUAGGGCAGUCGUGAGUGGUCGCUCCAAACAACACGUUACGAAUCGUAAUUCGCUGAAGGUGGAGGCAUUUGGUGCGACUCUGUCUGGCGCUGUAAAUGCUAGAUGUGCUAAUUGCUGUCAGUAUGGGCAUGCGUCCUCGCUUUGCACUAGUCCACAGAUUGCUUAUUCUGAACGACUGUGUUUCCAUUGCAAGCAACCAGGUCAUGUUAGGGGGAAAUGUCCGGGAAACGAGGCCGCUCCGCUCAUGUGAGGUGUGUGAGUGGGGUUAGAAAAAAUAAAGGUAAUACGCCUCGUGUAUGUCAAGUCCCAAUACUCUUGUAUGGUAAAAAUGUUUUGGCACUUGUGGAUACAGGGACCACGCAUUGCGUGGUUAGUGUUAAAUUUUUCUAAAGUUUGUUUAGGGAAUGCCCACAUUUAUACAGGGUGUGUUCAGAAGACCAGCAGUUGCGAGCUUGUGUAGCUAAUAGAGAAAUGGUGUAUUCUAGGUCCUGUGUACUAUUACAUUUUAAAAUUUAUUAUUUUUCCUGGAGCUUUAUUUUCUGUAUAAUUCCGCAGAUCACUGUAGACAUUUUAUAGGCUUAGAUUUUUUAGGGCAUGCUCAGUGUGAUGUAGAUGCAGGCAAAAGGUGCUUGCAUUUUGCUUUUGCAUCGGAUGUUGAGAUUCCUUGGGCUAAUGAGGGAAGUUCUUCUGUGAUGGAAGUGGUUGUGAAGGAAGGAGAGGACCAGAUUAAGCAGUUGAGUAGUAUAUUGGAGGAAUAUUCUGAUGUUGUCACAAAGAACUUGGGAAGAUGUGAUUUGUUUCCCUAUAGUUUUCGUGUCAAGAAAGACUUGCCGGUUAGAGAGCGUCCAUACUGCUUAUUUCCCCCUAAAAUGCAGAUUAUGCGAACUCUCAUCGAUAAAUUGUUGCAGGCGGGUGUCAUAUCUCCCUCGGUAUCUGAAUAUUGUACCCCGACUUUCUUGGUUGCCAAGAAAGAACCAGGUGAAUUCAGAAUAGUUCAUUCCUUUAAGCAGGUUAAUGACCUCAUAGUCUUUGACCCAUUUCCCAUGCCGACGGUUGAGAGUGCAGCAGCAUCUGGGUUGUGCCAAGUAUUUCACUAUUGUGGACCUGAACUCUAGUUUCCAUCAGGUGCUAAUACAUCCUGAGUGUAGGAAAUAUGUGGCCUUUACGACCCCAUGGGGUCAUUUUGAGUAUAAUAGGGUACAUUUGGGUUCCUCAUUUGGGUCACAGGCAUUGUCUCGAGUGCUGGAAAAUAUACUGGGUGACAUCAAAUUUCAGUUUGUAUUCAACUAUAUAGAUGACAUUAUUAUUUAUAGUAAUUCCUGGGAUGAACACCUGGACCAUGUUCGACAGGUUUUUGACAGACUUCGGUUAGCAGGUCUUACUGUCAAUCCGAAAAAGAUUUCCCUGGGUAAAAGACAUGUUAAAUUUUUGGGUUAUUUGAUUUCUUCUGGAGAGCUGUUGAUGGAUCCUGAUAAGGUUGUUCCUAUUCUUAAUUUUCCGCGCCCAAAGAAUAUGAAGGGUGUACAACGAUUCCUUGGUGUUUUGGGUUACUACGCCCGUUUUGUUGAAGAUUUUUAUGUUCAUGUGGCUCCUUUGAACCGUCUGAAGCGAAAAGGUCAAAAAUUCGAGUGGGGUGAAGAUCAAGAAUCGGCAUUCAAAAUUCUCAAGAGUAAGCUCGCCUCUCCUCCAGUUCUCAUAUUGCCUGACUUUUCUAAGCAUUUUGCAUUGCAAGUGGAUGCCUCUUCCUUGGCUCUGGGGGCGGUUUUGGGACAAAUUGAAGAGGGUAGGUUGAGGCCCAUAGCAUAUGCUUGUCGGGCGCUCACAGUUUCUGAGCGCAAGCUUAGUGCUUACGAAAAGGAAGGUAUUGCAUGCAUUUAUGGUAUGGAAAAGUUUCAAACAUAUUUGAAUUGUUCUCAAUUUGAUUUAUAUUAUGACAACCAGGCUCUGACAUGGCUCUUGAACCACCCUGAUCUGCUGGGCAGAAUUGGUAGAUGGGUGUUGUAUCUCGCUCGUUUUUGGUACAAAAUUCAUCAUAUUCGUGGAGCUGAUAAUGUGGUCGCAGAUGCACUUUCGCGCAUGUUUCCGCCGGAAGAGUACCAGGUUGAACCUGCCGAAGAUAUCAAGGUAGCGGAGGUGUCGGCCUUGCGGGUCAUUACAGAAACUUUAGUCAACCUGAAAGAGGCUCAAGCGCAGGACUCUUUUUGUGUAGAAUUGUCCCAAAAAAUGGCUAAUGGAGAUACUUUUCCUUAUUGUAUGCAUAAUGAGCUAGUCUGUUAUACGGGGAAGAAAGGACGAGCAAAAAGGUGCUACUUCCCUUGUCAUUACGUUCAGUUGUGUUGAUGUAUUUCCAUUCCUCGGUGUUUGGAGGACAUUUGGGGAGGGCAAAACCGUUGAAGAAGGUUGCUUUACAUUAUGCAUAGCCAACUCUAAUUGAGGAUGUUAAGAAUUAUGUGCAGAAAUGUUCAGUUUGUCAGCGUUGUAAGCCUCCCUGUCAAGCUAACUUGGGCUUGCAUGCUGCUAGUUUGCCUGAAGCCCCUUGGCAUACUGCGCACUUAGAUGUGUUCGGCCCUUUAGUGAGGUCCAAAAAGGGUAAAGUGUGCAUUUUGAUUUUAUUAGAUAUUUUUUUCAAAAUUUCUGUUUUUGCUUCCUAUGAGAAAUCUGAAAUCCACUUCUGUGGUGAAAGUUUUGACAUCCCAGGUUUGGAAGCUCUUUGGGGCUCCGUGUUUUCUGACUUCGGAUAAUGCCAAGUGUUUUCAGUCAGUGGCAUAUAAGAAUAUAUGUUUAGAAUGGGCAAUUAAACCAAUUUUCAGUACUCCAUAUUUUUCCAAGGGUAACAUGGUAGAACGAUUUAAUAGUAACCUUAAGUCUUGUCUAACAAUUGGGAUGAGGAUCUGGACUUGAUUAAUCUGGGUUUCAAUGCUGCUGAGCAUGGGUCAACAGGGUUCCCUCCUUCCCUGCCCUUCCUUGGUAGGCAUCUUGCACAUCCUCUGCUGAAUGAGUGGAGCAUCCCUCUAGAUGAUGCUUCCCGCGAAGAGCUUUUUGAAACAAUGGUUUUUAAUUUAAAAUGGGCUCAAGCGAUUGUAGCAAGGCGUUAUGAUGCUUCACAUGAAGAGCACAGUUUUCACCCAGGAGACUUGGUUUGUUUCAGGAAUUAUGUGCUGCCUGAUGCUGCGGCUAAGGUCAGCAGUAAGAUUAUACCUCGUUCUGUUGGGCCAUUUGUCAUAAAGAAGUUUUUAGAAGAGGAAUUUGGACUUCCUUGCUGCUGACACCACCCUCGUCUAGACCGGAGGACGCUCUGGAAGAUGGAUACGACUGAACUCUGCUUGCUGUGGUGCUCAUAUCCUGAAAUUCGCCGGAUGGCUGCCUGCUCGUGGAGCAUGUUCCUGAACUCAGCGUCCUGUAUGACACCGCUGGUCAGCGGUGGACGAACUUCUAGGUGCUCUUUGCCUAGAGCUACUUUGUUUCUGUCUGCAGCGAAGUAACCUCUUCUCUAUUCUUCUGCACUUCGUCUGCUCUGUUCUUCUCUUCUUGAGUGUGCUACACUUUAUCUUCAUUUGACGACGGACUUCGAUUUGGGAGAGCUGAGUGUAUAACUAUGUGGCUAGGAGUGUUGGAGCAUCAAGAGGCAGAAUACUAGGGUGUCAAACCCUAGUCAGGGUUUUAAGGGUGGGUGGUUGUGCCAGCAGCAAGACGACAUUUGUGAGUCUGACGUCAUCGCUAAACAAGAAUCUUCCCUCCUUCCUCCCCUCCUUCUUAUUGCCCCCUCCCUGGUGGUCUGUACUGCCUUCCGUCCUUUUCCCCUACUCCAGUCUUCUCUCUGCGCAUGCGCUCUAGCGGCCGGUUGCCCUGGUAGUUGCAACGGCUGCCUGACGUUCUUAUUAUUUUAGGUUCGAACGAGGCAACAUGUAAUUAUUUGGGUAGUAGGUAGUUCUCCGUGUCCGACGUGUGUGGGCAGAAUGAAGGUUUGGGUAUGUGAUUAAAUUUGGAUUAGCCUUAUUCCUGAAAUGUUUUUGGAUUGUCUUUGGAAACUUUGUUUGCCUUAUCAUUAAUUAUAUCGUGUAGGAAUCAUUCGUGUGCAAUAAUGUAGCUCAGUCGUUUUGAUUGGCAGUGUUGCCUAUGGACUUUGCCCAGUACUAUUUUUUUUAAGGUCAAAUUUGAUGUUCACGAGUGGUCGGUGCAUGGCACUCUCUAUAUUAAAAAGAGUUAACAUAAACGUCCCGAGGAAUUCAAUGCUUUAAUAGUAACUGUGCGUGUAUUGCAUUUACCGACUCCGCGGGAUCGUAAAAUAUGUAGUAAUUUAAUGGUUUUAAUUGUAUUGCAGUUUGUACUUCACGGAAUAGAGUAUUGUGAUCGUCCUUACGAAGGUUCGUGAAUCCAUGACAUGGUUAGGUUAGGUAGUCAUGUGCAAAGUUUGUUGUAACCUUUGUCAGAUGCGGUAAGUGUAUUGUAUUUUUAUUGUAUUGAGUUCAUUAUAUUGCAUCUGCAUGAUUUAAAGGUUAGUCAUUGCUCUUGCAACGGUAUUAACGAGUUUUUAGUGCAGUUACGCCUUAAUUGUUUUUGUUCCUUUAUGUACUUAUUCCCGACUUAUCGCUGUCAGUUUCAUAUUUGCAAGUUACUUGUUUUGAACAAAUAAACUGUUAUUUGUUGGACGAAA